UAGCUAGUUGGUGAGGUAACGGCCCACCAAGGCGACGAUCGGUAGCCGGACUGAGAGGUUGAACGGCCACAUUGGGACUGAGACACGGCCCAGACUCCUACGGGAGGCAGCAGUGGGGAAUAUUGCACAAUGGGGGGAACCCUGAUGCAGCGACGCCGCGUGGAGGAAGAAGGUCUUCGGAUUGUAAACUCCUGUUGUUGGGGAAGAUAAUGACGGUACCCAACAAGGAAGUGACGGCUAACUACGUGCCAGCAGCCGCGGUAAAACGUAGGUCACAAGCGUUGUCCGGAAUUACUGGGUGUAAAGGGAGCGCAGGCGGGAAGACAAGUUGGAAGUGAAAUCUAUGGGCUCAACCCAUAAACUGCUUUCAAAACUGUUUUUCUUGAGUAGUGCAGAGGUAGGCGGAAUUCCCGGUGUAGCGGUGGAAUGCGUAGAUAUCGGGAGGAACACCAGUGGCGAAGGCGGCCUACUGGGCACCAACUGACGCUGAGGCUCGAAAGUGUGGGUAGCAAACAGGAUUAGAUACCCUGGUAGUCCACACCGUAAACGAUGAUUACUAGGUGUUGGAGGAUUGACCCCUUCAGUGCCGCAGUUAACACAAUAAGUAAUCCACCUGGGGAGUACGACCGCAAGGUUGAAACUCAAAGGAAUUGACGGGGGCCCGCACAAGCAGUGGAGUAUGUGGUUUAAUUCGACGCAACGCGAAGAACCUUACCAAGUCUUGACAUCCCUUGACAGGCAUAGAAAUAUGUUUUCUCUUCGGAGCAAGGAGACAGGUGGUGCAUGGUUGUCGUCAGCUCGUGUCGUGAGAUGUUGGGUUAAGUCCCGCAACGAGCGCAACCCUUAUGGUCAGUUACUACGCAAGAGGACUCUGGCCAGACUGCCGUUGACAAAACGGAGGAAGGUGGGGAUGACGUCAAAUCAUCAUGCCCUUUAUGACUUGGGCUACACACGUACUACAAUGGCGUUAAACAAAGAGAAGCGAGACCGCGAGGUGGAGCAAAACUCAGAAACAACGUCCCAGUUCGGACUGCAGGCUGCAACUCGCCUGCACGAAGUCGGAAUUGCUAGUAAUCGUGGAUCAGCAUGCCACGGUGAAUACGUUCCCGGGCCUUGUACACACCGCCCGUCACACCAUGAGAGCCGGGGGGACCCGAAGUCGGUAGUCUAACCGCAAGGAGGACGCCGCCGAAGGUAAAACUGGUGAUUGGGGUGAAGUCGUAACAAGGUAACCGUACUAGUACGGGAGCUG
rnacentral:rRNA from 1 species